rnacentral:rRNA from 1 species
AUGGGCUCCUCGUACGGCUGGCUCAUCACUGCGGAUGAGCGGUCAAAUCUCAUACUAGUGAACCCUGCUACCGGAGCUCAGAUAGCUAUGCCUCCACCUGAAACCAUGAACAAUGUUAGACUGCGCUACACUGAAAAGGGUGUGCUAGAUGGAUAUGAUGUUCUUUACAUGGAUCUCUUAUCUUCGGAUUUUGACACAGAAACGGAGCCAUACCAUCUUACACUUGAAGAAGCCCGCUUCUUCUUUUAUGAGAGGGUUGUUCUUUCUUGCGACCCCUCCCAAGGAAACUGCAUGGUGCUCCGAAUACAAUUGCCCAAUAGUCAACUCUCUUAUACUAGGGUUGGGGACACCAAAUGGACUUGGAUUGGUGGAAAAGGAAACUGCUGGGAAUAUCAAGACAUUCUUUAUAACAACAAUGAUGGUUUGUUUUAUGGUGUUCGUGGUGAGGGUCAGGUAGAUUCUAUUAACCUUAAUGGAAUUUCUGCUGAAGUAAAAGUCAUUUUAAAGUCAAUCAUAUCUUACCAAGCACAUAGUAGAUAUAUUGUUCAAGCACCAUGGGGAGAUUUUUUCCAGAUAUGGAGACAUGAUAAAUAUAAUAAGGAGAAUGGGAGAACAGAAUGGGUUGCCGACAAAUUUUUUGUGUACAAGAUUGAUUUUGUUGGACAAAAGAUAAUCGAAACAAAUAACCUCCAAGAUCAUGCAAUGUUCAUUGGUUUCAACAACUCGUUCCUUCUCCCAGUGAAAGACUUUCCUGCAUUGGUUCCCAAUAGCAUCUACCACACGGAUGACUUGCUUGAUUAUAUCUACUGUCACAGAUUUAGUCUUAGGCAGGUUGUUAUUUUUAAUAUGGAAGAUGGUAGUUUCAUCGAGUUAUCGCCCCCUAGUUCAAAUUCAAGAUUGAACUGGCCACCCCCAGUUUGGAUUCAACCAUCACUUGCUUGA